rnacentral:rRNA from 1 species
UACAGAGGUCUCGAGCGUUGUUCGGAUUCAUUGGGCGUAAAGGGUGCGUAGGCGGCGAGGUAAGUCGGAUGUGAAAUCCCGGGGCUCAACCCCGGAACUGCAUUCGAUACUGCCCCGCUUGAGGACUGGAGAGGAGACUGGAAUUCACGGUGUAGCAGUGAUAUGCGUAGAUAUCGUGAGGAAGACCGGUGGCGAAGGCGGGUCUCUGGACAGUUCCUGACGCUGAGGCACGAAGGCUAGGGUAGCGAAAGGG